CUACGGGCGGCUCCAGUGAGGAAUAUUGCACAAUGGGGGGGACCCUGAUGCGGCAACGCCGCGUGGAGGAUGACGCAUUUCGGUGUGUAAACUCCUUUUAUAUGUCAAGAAAAUGACGGUAGCAUAUGAAUAAGCACCGGCUAACUCCGUGCCAGCAGCCGCGGUAAUACGGAGGGUGCAAGCGUUACUCGGAAUCACUGGGCGUAAAGGACGCGUAGGCGGGUUGGAAAGUCAGGUGUGAAAUCCUACAGCUUAACUGUAGAACUGCACUUGAAACUUCUAAUCUAGAGUAUGGGAGGGGGAGAUGGAAUUAGUGGUGUAGGGGUAAAAUCCGUAGAUAUCACUAGGAAUACCUAAAGCGAAGGCGAUCUCCUGGAACAUUACUGACGCUAAGGCGUGAAAGCGUGGGGAGCAAACAGGAUUAGAUACCCUAGUAGUC
rnacentral:rRNA from 1 species